GUAGAUAAAAGGGAACAUCUCACUCCAGUCCUGGCUGCCAGAGGAGGAAGAUGGAUGUGCGUUGCUGGCUCCUGCUGAGGUACUGCCAGCCUUCCCGAUUACAGAAUCAAGUCUCCCUGACUAGAUUAUGAGGGAUUCCCAUUUAUGGAGGCUGAUGGAGAUGUCAAGCCUCUGCCUGGGAGGACAAGCCCAAAGUGGUCUUAGAGCUGUUGCUGUGCAAGGCGAUAGCUGAAAAUUGGAGGAAUUAUUUUUUGAGCAUUUGACUGAAAACUGUCACUGACAGAGGUGUCUUCUUCUUGAGCAAACUGAAGGCUCCUCCUGCAGGUCAAAGAAGCUAGUGAUAAAGCUGGACUGUCUGUGUGACUCUUUACUGGCUUCCUUUGCCUGAGCAACUGGGACAGGAUAAGCCAGCCCAGAUUCAUCCCUAUUGUGACCAGUGACCUCUCCCGCAGCCCAUCCCCAAUACUCCCUUCUUUGUUGGCAGAUGUGAUGCCAACGUGGAAUCCACCUCUAUGAGAAAGCAGACACAUGUCAAGGAGAAAAGCUUUAAAGAAAGCAGGACCACAUACUAGAACAUUCCUCUAGAGAGCACAGCGAAAUCUCUUUCAGUGUCCCAACACAGCCUGGUUUUGCUGGCAGCGAUGUAAGACAUUCUCUGUGUCGCUCACGGACACCAUCCCCACAGGUCACACUGCAAGGACUCCAGGGCUGCCACAGGCUCCAUGUUUCUGUGGAUACAUGAGAUCACAGCAAUGAGGAAUGCAGCCAGACUCAUUUCAUCUUACAGCAAAGCUUUCAACUAUCCCUCCUUUAUAUAGAAAAUAAUCAACCCCAACUCUGCAAUUGUAACCCUGCAAAGUAAAUAGCUACCGGGGCCUGCGCCUGCUCCCAUCAGAGUCAGGGGCAAUGCUUCCAUCACCUCCAAUGGCAGCAGGAUUGCACUACUAGUCUGUUAACUAAGGCCAGCAGGAUAUGCCUUGUACAACAGCAAAUAGAAAUGAAUCCACAAGUCUUUCUAAUGGCUUAGCAGUUUAGGCAUUUAUAGGGUCCAGUUCCUACCUUGUGUAUGCUGGUUUUAAUUAGCAUCACUAUUGAUUUCAGUGGGGUUACCCCUGAUUUAGACUGCUGGGAGAGGAGUCUGAGGCCCAAAGGGACUAUUGAAAAAGCACUGUUGGUUUCUCUCCUGUUAUCUUCAUAGCACACAAAUUAUGUUAUUGAACCACUAGUUUAACAGUUUUUUAGAAGUCCUAAUCUUUUAUUGUUUGAGGGGGCACUCAAUAAGGAGUUUUAGGAUGAAAAUUCAAGUUUUUUUUUUAAGGGGUCAAGGUUCAAGGCAGAAUGCAUUUUCAUUAUUUUAAAUGCAACAAAAGCAGUUUUUUGUUUGAAUUUCAAUAUCCUCUUGCUGUGUUCAUAACUCAAACUUUACAGCACUGACAAUCCAGAAGCUGAAAGUGACUGUGCCUGCCAAUUUUUGAAUGCUAUAAAUAACAUUUGGAAAGAAAAAAACAGCAACAUCCUUAAACUCCAAUAAAAUUAAUUAGACCUGGUGCAAUUUUUUGGAGAGACAGAACAAUGUGUGAUAGAUAUCUUGGGAUUGUCCCCAUUAAAUAUUAUUAGUUGGCUUAUAGGAAUUGAUUUGAUAUGGACCAGAAAUAAAACCAUUAAACUCAUUAUUUUCAUUAUCUAGGAGGAGUAAAAUGCAAAAAGUAAAACCACAUAAAUGAUGGGAAAGUAAGUUAGGGUUUUUUUUAAUUCUCUCUCUUUAAUAAUUCUGGUGUUGCUAUUACUAAUACAGGUCAUGACAUUUGGUUUUAAUUACAUGAUUCUUAACCUCA